rnacentral:rRNA from 1 species
UGCAUGUCUAAGUAUAAGCACUUUAUACUGUGAAACUGCGAAUGGCUCAUUAAAUCAGUUAUCGUUUAUUUGAUAGUACCUUACUACAUGGAUACCUGUGGUAAUUCUAGAGCUAAUACAUGCUAAAAACCCCGACUCACGAAGGGGUGUAUUUAUUAGAUAAAAAACCAAUGCCCUCCGGGGCUCCUUGGUGAAUCAUAAUAACUUAACGAAUCGCAUGGCCUUGCGCCGGCGAUGGUUCAUUCAAAUUUCUGCCCUAUCAACUUUCGAUGGUAGGAUAGUGGCCUACCAUGGUGGCAACGGGUAACGGGGAAUUAGGGUUCGAUUCCGGAGAGGGAGCCUGAGAAACGGCUACCACAUCCAAGGAAGGCAGCAGGCGCGCAAAUUACCCAAUCCCGACACGGGGAGGUAGUGACAAUAAAUACUGAUACGGGGCUCUUUUGGGUCUCGUAAUUGGAAUGAGUACAAUCUAAAUCCCUUAACGAGGAACAAUUGGAGGGCAAGUCUGGUGCCAGCAGCCGCGGUAAUUCCAGCUCCAAUAGCGUAUAUUAAAGUUGUUGCAGUUAAAAAGCUCGUAGUUGAACCUUGGGUCUGGCUGGCCGGUCCGCCUCACCGCGAGUACUGGUCCGGCUGGACCUUUCCUUCUGGGGAACCCCAUGGCCUUCACUGGCUGUGGGGGGAACCAGGACUUUUACUGUGAAAAAAUUAGAGUGUUCAAAGCAGGCCUUUGCUCGAAUACAUUAGCAUGGAAUAAUAGAAUAGGACGUGCGGUUCUAUUUUGUUGGUUUCUAGGACCGCCGUAAUGAUUAAUAGGGAUAGUCGGGGGCGUCAGUAUUCAGCUGUCAGAGGUGAAAUUCUUGGAUUUGCUGAAGACUAACUACUGCGAAAGCAUUCGCCAAGGAUGUUUUCAUUAAUCAGGGAACGAAAGUUAGGGGAUCGAAGACGAUCAGAUACCGUCGUAGUCUUAACCAUAAACUAUGCCGACUAGGGAUCGGACGGUGUUUCUAUUAUGACCCGUUCGGCACCUUACGAGAAAUCAAAGUUUUUGGGUUCUGGGGGGAGUAUGGUCGCAAGGCUGAAACUUAAAGAAAUUUGACGGAAGGG